rnacentral:misc_RNA from 1 species
GGACAACGGCCACAGGAGCGAGUGAGACAAACGACGAUUACACCCUGCGCGGUGAUAGAAAGAGGGAGAAAGAGAAAUAGAGAGAGGGAGAAAUCGCGACAGCGCGCUUGAUGGUGCUAAGCUAGAGCGAAAAGGUGGAAUACCAGGGGUUGGACGGUAGGUAGGACGCAAAGGGGUGGCGCGCGAGAGAAAACCGCUAGCGUGUACCGCAGUACGGGAUAGUGAGCUGCAAGCUAGUCUUCCUCUCUUAUGUUGCGAAAAAGCCACUAUCCGCUGAGACAAUACGACCGUACAGCUGUUCGUUUUCCGCCAUUCUAUAUCUCUUAUGAGGACAGAUUGUUCACGGAGAUGUUCGAUUCCUAUCGUCGUUUCUAGUUCAUGACAAGAUGUGUGUGUGCGUGUGUCAGCGGCGAUAAUUGUGGGAUUCAUUUCGAGAUCGUUCUCGAGACUGCUCUGGAUCUCCUCUGGUGUGAUCAAGUAGUGUCAGUUUUUGUACCAGUUGUCACGACGCGUUUGUCGAAUGUCAAGGACGAUGCGGCAUUUCGUUAUUGUACCACGGCGCGACACCCGUUAGAUCCUAUGUCGGUGACAAUCGUGAAUUGGAGGGACUUGGGCUGGGAAUGCAUGUGUUGCAAGUGAGUGCAGACAGGUUGCGAUGUCAGUGAUAUCUUGUUUUUUUUUUGAAAGCUUUGUCCUUAAGUCGUAAAGUGUACUACUUGUCGUCGGACGAUUUCAUUGAAAUACUGACAAUGCAGUCACCUGUUCCUGAGUGCAGUGAAUCGGAGGAUGAGGAGGUGGAUAACGAUCCUCUCUUAACUGCUUUUAGAAAUGACAGUGGAACGGUAUCCUCGUGAGACGCUGCCACCUGCGGCGAGUGCACCACGGCUUUAGUGGUAUUUAAACGAGGACACAUGGAGUUUCGAUAUCUUUGUCAUUGAUGAAUUUUGCAGAAGAGCUUUGUUGCGUGAAAAAUUGAACGUUUAUUUACGAUAAAAAUUCAAUUGGAGAAAAAAAAUUUUUGUGUGACUGGACAUCUGUUAUAUGCAAAUUUUGAGAUACGUUUUUGAAACGUAAAGAAAUGCUACAAAAUAGAAACAAAAGAGAGAUAUCGUUAAAAAUAAAAUAUAAAUAAUUUUUUUGUAUUUGCUUUUGUCAUUGACAAAAAGCAGAUUCUCGGGGAAACAAAUGAUUUAUCGUUCACAUGAGAUAUACAUAUAUGUUAUGACAUGAAGAAUCACAUCAUGUUUCAAGGUGAUCUAAAGUUUUUAUUGUUUAAACAAGACAAUUCUUUGUGCGAUGUUAUUUUGUCGUACAUUCAACUUGAAAUUUUAAGAGGCAAAGAAAAAAUAUUCUCACGCAUGUAAAAUUCAAUUGUUAUUAAUGUAAAGUAUUAUCGGUAUAUUUGUGUGUGUGAUUAGAGUUGUUGUGAAUCGGUGAAAAUCUAAAGCGCAAAUUAACGUAAUAAAUACAAUUUAAACUUAAGGUACACGGAAAGACAUGACCAUUCAGGAACUCGUUAAGUAAGAUGAAACUGAUGCAAUCUUAUCAAGAUGUUAAAGUUGAGCUCGCGUAACUUACAACCUCCGCGUUGUUUUAGAUGUUGUGUUCGUUGACCGUGACCUUCGAUCACCAUGUGACGUCAUUCAGGUCAGACAGAAACGAUGUCGUGUAAACGAUGUGUCUCGAGAUGCUUAUGUGACCGUUGUCGCGGAGGCAGCUGCAAUUAAUCAAGAGUGUGUUGUGCACAUUCUCUAGAUAUUAUUUUAUUAUCUCGAAGAAUCUCCUGGCAAGACUCUCAUCACAUAAAACAUGCAUUUUUUUGCUGAAUAAUAAAGAUAAAGAUAAUAGCAAAAAGUUUAUUCGAAAAAAAAAUGAACGAUGUUUUAUCUCGUUUUGGUACGCCAAUACUUUUUAUGCGAGAUUCAGCUCUUGUGCGUGUGACUAUGAUCGUUAAUAAUUCAUUUAAGUAGUUUGUAAUGCAUAAAUAAUAUGUCAAGUAAUAUAAGUUUAAAAUAAACAUCGUUUUACUUUGAUAAAAAAGAGCGAUCGCGCAAAUGGAGGGUACUAGAAAACUCUUUUAACUCGCACUCAAAAGAUAAAAAGUGUGACUCUUGUGUGAAACAUCUCGCAAAAUGCUUUAAGUAUAUUUUCAUUUGGCGAAUGAGAAAGAAGUGCGAAUCAAUACAAAACGAUUCCAAGGGAAUUUUCGAAUAUACUUUUCCGUAGUUGCGCAAGGUGCGUUAAUGUUUCACCCUGUUCUAUUGUUAUUAACGAUCAAUCGUUAUUGUUGUCUUGAGAGGAAAGCGUUCAAUGUAUGCGUCACUUGAUAUCAGAAGUAGGAGUACAAGAAGUGGGAAACUUUAUGGAACUCUCCUUCACGUUAAUCGAAGUUUGACAAUGAUUGGAACCAAGAAAUGGAACAGAAGGGAAUCUCAAGUCACUCUUUUAUGCUCGAUCGUUAUUAUUAUCUAAUCUGCGCUUUUUGAUGCAUUUUCGGUGAUCAAGAGUAGCCGACGCAACUUGUUAUUCUAUAUAAUCAACAAAAGAUAUAAAUAUCGUCGAUGAUAUUUAUUAUAUUAAAACGUUAGUUACAUGAGAUUUGUUAAAGUUCAUUAGAAAUUAGGAAUUAGAAUUUUGAAAAACUACUUUUAAAACCUAAAUCUUUAUUGUGAAUUCUUCGUUGUGAAAAUCAAUAAGUUAGCAUCGGAAAAAUUAAUGUUCAGCGUUACGAAGUUUUUCAGAAUUUUUAUGAACAUUGUUAAUGUAUUAAGAGCUUAUUAGUUGGAAUAAUAUCAACUAUAGUAGUUUGUGCAAUAGCUUGCAAUAUUCUCAACAAAGCAAAAAAUGCUUUAAUUGGUAAUAUUCUACAAAGCGAAAAUAUACAUAUAAAACUACCUCGCAAAGUUACUACAAGUUAUCGUCUUCCAUCUUGUUUUGAGAGAAAACAACAAUGGAGAAGGAGAAAUUUCUCUCUGUUUCGAAGAACCAGGACUUACAAAUUCUUCCGUUACAAAUUUACUCGGUAGAUCGAAUACAAGAUCAAAAUAAUUUAGAUUGAAAGUUCGUUUUACUGAAUAGAUUUCAAGAUUACCCCGUCGCUUCUUCUCUCAACAUACUUUUGCCGAGGGUUUUUAAUUACGCUUGUAAGAAAGACAAUACUUAACUCGAACGUAAUCGACUUUCACGAAUAGCGAAACAGCUUUAAGUAGACGCUCAUAUUUUCUGCAAUAAUUUUAUUGCCUGCUGUGUAUCAAGCAAGCAGUUCUAAUAGUCUUUGAUGCCUCUUAAAAAACUAGAAACAGAAAGGCUCUGCUAAUUUAUUGCAAGCAUGAAUGUUAGAUCUCCGACGACAGUGACUUUUUUAAAAAUUUGAUAAUUAAAGAAAUAAUAAAUGUACGAAAUACAUUUAUAACAUAUUGAAACUAUGCUCAUGCAAGAUUAAUGGAUUAUUCAGAAUAUGAAUAUAAAACAGAAUAUGAAUACAAAAAUAUUAUAAAGCAUUUACAAUAUUGUAUUCACAAAAUGAGAACAAUGUUAUAACAAUUAUAGAAAAGAUGAACAAAAAUUCUAAAUCUUUUAUAACAAGCUAAUUGAGCUAUUACACAUUAGAACUAUUAUUUUUUCAAGAUGUUCAUUCAAGAUUUGUCAAUUUCUUCUCUCCGUUAUCAAUCAAUUAUGUAUAUACGUAUCUUCGAAUUUGUUCAUCGUGCCUGGUCGAUCACUUAUAACUACUUUGCUAAAUGAUUGGAGAAGAUUUAUGGCAAUGUGGUCAAAAGAACGAUGUGGCCGGACGUCGCCGGUAAAUCUCACACGUUCUGCGAUCAUUUCAAAGUGAAGCUGCCGGGAGUGAAGAAAAAGAAGAAGUGUAAAGAGAACGAAUCAGCGUGCUGUAAAAUCUUCACCCUGUUUCAUUAUCGUAAGCCUCGGGAUCCGCUUCGUGGUUCCAGCACAGCCUCGUCGGUGCCCUUGCUCGAUAUGGGCGCCAGAGCAUGGGACUACGAGGCCUUGCCGGAACUCCACACUUCGACGGCGGUCACGCCGACCUCGACGCCACCGAACGCGUCCCAACAGAAAACGCCUAAAGUGUAUUUUCAAGCAGAAAAUCUGGCGUCCACUAGGCGAAGAAGCAGCAGUAGACUGUUGGCGCCCCAACAGUCCUGCAGGAGACGCAGCCGGAGCAUGAGUGCUUGGAGUGACCUGUCCAGGUCGUCCUUUAGAUUGGAGGAAAGAGUUCGCGUUGAGUAUUAUGUGAACGAAAAUACAUUCAAGGAACGACUGCAGUUGUACUUUAUCAAGAAUCAACGUUCCAGUUUGAGGAUACGACUUGCCAAUCUCUUCCUCAAGCUCUUGACAUGCUUCCUGUAUAUAUUCAGGGUUGUUACCGAAAACGAUCCAACAUUCGCAGCAUGUUAUGGUUGCACACCCGGCAACAAGACCGAGUUUCUCGCGUCGCAAAACUUGACGGAGGAGGAGUUUCAGGAGCACCCGACCAUCAAUUGGGAUGCGAUCCUGUGGGUCAGGAGACCUUUAGAGUUGUGGGUUGUCCAAGUCAUCUUGGCUAUGGUAUCGUUAACCGAAGCUUUGCUGCUUGCCUAUCUCGGUUACAAGGGAAAUGUCUGGCAACAGCUUCUGUCCUUCCAUUUCAUCCUGGAACUGGUCAACACGAUCCCGUUUACCAUCACGUUAUUGUACCCGCCAAUGAGACAUCUGUUCAUUCCGGUGUUUCUAAAUUGCUGGUUAGCAAAGCACUCUUUAGAAAACAUGUUUAACGACCUUCACCGAGCAAUGCAGAAAUCCCAAUCGGCAUUAAGUCAACAGUUGAUGAUCCUUAGUGCUACGUUACUGUGCCUUGUCUUUACUAGCGUAUGCGGGAUUCAGCACUUUCAGAGAGCGGGGCACAGGCAUUUAAAUCUAUUUCAAAGUACGUACUACGUUGUGGUAACGUUCUCCACGGUAGGCUACGGGGAUUUCGUGCCAGACAUUUGGCCUUCACAACUUUAUAUGGUCAUUAUGAUCUGUGUGGCUCUUAUAGUGUUACCAACACAGUUCGAACAGUUAGCUUUCACAUGGAUGGAGCGACAGAAGCUGGGCGGCUCGUAUUCGUCGCACAGAGCGCAAAGCGAGAAGCACGUGGUAGUUUGCAGUACGACACUACAAGCCGACACCAUUAUGGACUUUCUAAAUGAGUUUUACGCUCAUCCUUUGCUACAGGAUUAUUAUGUGGUACUUUUAUCACCGAUGGAACUUGAUACCACAAUGCGGAUGAUUCUGCAAGUGCCAAUCUGGGCACAGAGAGUGAUCUAUAUACAGGGCUCUUGCCUGAAAGAUGGCGAUCUUGCGAGAGCCAGGAUGAAUGAGGCAGAAGCCUGUUUCGUGUUGGCAGCGAGAAAUUAUGCUGACAAAACCGCUGCUGAUGAGCACACGAUACUCAGAUCAUGGGCUGUGAAAGAUUUUGCACCCAAUGUUCCUCAAUAUGUUCAAAUCUUCCGUCCGGAAAAUAAGCUCCACGUGAAAUUCGCGGAGCACGUGGUAUGCGAGGAUGAAUUUAAAUACGCCCUUUUGGCAAAUAAUUGCACGUGUCCCGGCGCAUCGACAUUGGUUACCCUGUUGCUGCACACAUCCAGAGGACAAGAAGGUCAACAGUCACAAGAAGAAUGGCACAGAUUAUAUGGUAAAUGUUCCGGUAACGAGAUUUAUCACAUAAUUCUCGGGGACUCCCGCUUUUUCGGAGAAUAUGAGGGAAAAUCCUUCACCUACGCGUCCUUCCACAGCCACAGGAAAUACGGAGUUGCGCUUGUCGCAGUCAGACCGGCGGAACUUCCGGAAUUUUACGAGGACACUAUUCUGUUGAAUCCUGGGCCACGACAUAUAAUGAAGAAGACCGAUACUUGCUACUACAUGAGCAUCACCAAGGAGGAAAAUUCUGCAUUUGUGGUCGCGAAUAAUCAGGGCGUUAUUGGCGAGGGAACGCAGGUGAUCGUCGAGGCAAAGACAGACGCGACGUCUGCGAAUAACGGGUCGACAAUGAGUACCCCAACGACCAACGCUAUAACGGCGGCCACAGGGGCAACAUCGGCGACGACGACGACGACAACUACUACGACGAUAUCAACCAGCUGCACCGGUGGCGGCGACGGGAACGGUACAGCAAUCAGCAACGGUGCCGACGCGCACCAACGAUUUUCCAACAGUUGUAACAUUACGCUGACAAGCGAAACACUCUGCAGACAGGAGACCUGCACGGGGCCCCGUGCGCAGGACCAGUCGAACGGUCCUCAAAGUCAUAGGGCCCCGUUGCCACCGCAGGUUAUUUUGCAGGUCCUCCCUAGCACGCCCAUACCAACCCAACACUACAACUUACUCGCAUCCAAUGUCCACCCGACUUAUCUCGAUCCCACCGGAUUCGGGGACUCGAGGCAAUGCUUAAAAGAGGGAGGAUCAACGCCACAAACACCAAUCACGGGAAAUCAUCUUGACGUGCCACGAUCUCUCGAUCCGAAUCCCAAUCUGCUUAGUCCUGAAAUUCUAACGCAAAGGAGAGGAAGCAGGAGACCAAGUAUUCUACCAGUACCAGACAUGUUAACUAGUUCAACGUUACAUCUGCCUGGUCAAGAAUCCUUGGACCAUGAGGCUGACGAAUCGGAGGAUGAAAUGGAUGAUGAUGUUCCUUGGAGAUCGCCAAGCGAGAAAAUUGCCUUCAAAGGGAUCGUCAAGGGAUUUCCGCCAGUUUCACCCUUUAUUGGAGUCUCGCCAACCUUGUGCUAUCUUCUUAAAGAGAAGAAACCUCUCUGUUGCCUUCAGCUGGCUCAGGUGUGCCAGCAUUGCAGUUAUAGAAACGCCAAAGAGUAUAAUUGGCAGAAUAAAACUAUUAUACUAGCAGCGGAUUACGCUAGCAAUGGAAUUUAUAACUUUAUAAUACCAUUGAGAGCGCAUUUUAGGUCAAAAACAUCGUUAAAUCCGAUUAUCCUUUUGCUGGAGAGAAAACCGGAAAUCGCGUUUCUCGACGCAGUGUCCUACUUUCCGUUAGUCUACUGGAUGCGCGGCUCUAUUGACUGCUUAGACGACCUUCUCCGAGCUGGUAUCACUUUGGCGGAAAACGUCGUAGUCGUAAACAAGGAACUCAACAAUUCCGCCGAGGAGGACACCCUGGCUGAUUGCAACACAAUCGUUGCGGUACAAACAAUGUUUAAAUUUUUCCCGAGCAUAAAGAGCAUAACAGAAUUGUCCCAGUCGAGCAAUAUGCGUUUCAUGCAGUUCCGAGCACACGACAAGUAUGCUUUGCACCUCAGCAAAAUGGAAAAGGUACUCCUCAGUGCUACUACCGAUGACAACUACUCCAAAGAGCCUCCGAUGGGCUCUCCGAGGGAAAAAGAAAGAGGAUCUCACAUAUCGUAUAUGUUCCGAUUGCCGUUCGCCGCCGGUAGUGUCUUCAGCGCCUCGAUGUUAGAUACUUUACUUUAUCAAGCGUUCGUCAAAGAUUACGUGAUAACAUUCGUAAGACUGUUGUUGGGAGUCGAUCAAGCACCAGGAUCUGGAUUUCUCACGUCGAUGCGUAUAACGAAAGAUGACAUGUGGAUUAGAACGUAUGGCAGAUUGUAUCAAAAACUCUGUUCGACUACCUGCGAAAUUCCAAUUGGAAUAUACAGGACACAGGACACUACUGUAUCUGACUCUUCGCACGGCGACUCAGACGCGGAAAGUGACACAGGCGUCGGUGUGACGUACAAGGUGCGUCAUUCGGCGGCAGCUUCAUGUCUUGCGAAUUGUGCCACCCGCGACAAGGGUGCAUCUGCUUAUUCGGUGAGUCUUGGGGACGAGGCGCGCGACAACCACGCGCAGCAGAUCGAACGAGCGGAAAUUGCGAACCUGGUGCGCUCGCGGAUGGAAUCGCUGAAUCUGCCCGUUGCCGAUUACGAUGACGUGUCGGAGAAGCGUAAUAGCCUCUCCUACGUGAUUAUCAACCCGAGCUGUGAUCUGAAACUCGAGGAGGGUGACAUCGUCUAUUUGGUGCGACCCAGUCCGUUCUCCGCACAGAAGACCUUCGAGCGGCACAACUCUCGACGCAAGAGCAACAUCAGUUUCUGCUCGGCGCAGUUGGUAUCGCAGAUGAGCGCGGCGGUAGCGGCCGCAGGUCUACAAACCGGCGGUCCGGGUAGUCGUCGCGGUUCCAGCAUAGGUUUGGCCAGGGCACCACCCCUGGGCACGACUAAGUCAAAUUCGCUGUCUCUACCUGAUAGUCCUACCGUAGCCGGCACUCUGCGCGGUCGUUCGAACUCAUUGAGAGUGGUCGACGAUAUACUGCUGCGACGUAGUAAUUCCCUGAGGCAGGGCCUGACCAUGACGACCAGGCGGAAAAGCAGUCUGGAAGACAUCGGUCUGGGUGCGCUUUCACAUCCCUCCAAUCAUAAUCCUAUUAAGAUCGCCUUGAACGGCUCAAUCGGUUUGGAGGUAACACCGCCAGAGGAGGGCUCGCAGGCUGGUGGCGGCGCCAGUAACACCGGCAUCCUCGACGUAGGUCUGCCCUCCAUGCCAGAACUUAACGCAGCCUUGGGACCCAGUCUUGGCGCGGGCCUUGGUGGCUCCUUAGGUGGUCUCUAUGAUCCACCCUCCCUUCAGUGCUCUAUGGGCUCGCCCUGCCAAUCGCCACAGUUGCAGGGUACCACACAAGAUCCGCAGCACAUACAAGGGACAAUAGUAUGAUAUAACCUAAUGUGGGGACGCAGGCUCUCCGGCGUGGCACGAAAUAAGUGGCUGUAGCGUUCCCACAUGGCAUUUAAGGCUGGGUGACAUCAAGAAUGACGUACGUCCUUACAGUGGCCGUAACGGAUCAACACAGGAUAAUUGAACAACAUGUUUCGUGGGACUGACCAAGCCGAAUGAAUGAGACGGCUGGAGAGCAAGGUGUUUCGAUGAAAUUAACCACUGAUUGAUGACUAUUGCGCAGCGUCACACAGAAGAUCGCCUCUAGCGUACCGACAUCCGUGUCUCCGACUUCAUUCAUCAGACAGUAGUUCAUAUAAAGUUAGUGCAAAACGGCACGUAAAAAAAGGGAGUGCUUUGCGUGACGGCAAGCACAUAUUUUGAAUCAUUUGUAAUUUAAGCAUACUUAUAAUAAAAUUUACUACAAAUUUAUAUUAUUUUUUCCAUUAUAAAAUCAGUUUGGAAAUUGUAAAAUACUUUUAAAUUAAAAAAAGAAUAUAUAUAUUAAAAAUUGUUAUAAAUUUUAUUUAUUUUUAAAUUUGUCUUUUAAUUAAGUAAAAGAGAGAACAUAAACUUUUUAAAUAAAUAGUUAUGUUUUAAUUUAUAAUUACAUCACUUACAAUUAAUAAUUAGUAAACUGAAAUCACGAUUCAUAAUAAAUGCUUGUGUCUGUUAUUCAUUUCAUACAUUUUCGACGAGAAUGCGAAACGAGAAUACGACAAGAAUGUAUAAUGCACUCGAUUCUUACGUAGCGUCACGCUCAGCGAUCGAGCGUGAAUAAUUUUAUAAUAGAGAGAAAAUUUACGGUGAGAGUCUAUUAUAUAUAUAUAUAUAUUAUAGAAAUACGACCAUUUUAAUCAUAUCACGCGAGAGUGCGACUCACGCGGAAGGCAUCAUUAUAUCUUACAUAAAUAGGAGGAAUAUUUUAGAAAAUUUAAAUGCUUAGAACACGCGCGUAUAUUAUCAUGAUUUUUUGCGUGAUUAAUAAAUCGUCAUUGUAUUUUAAUGUCGAGUCGCAGGACGAUUGUCGACUUUCGUGACGCCUAGAUUUACGGUCGAUAUUUCACACCAAUAUAGACAAGAAUUGUAUCGUGAAAAUUACGUGAUAGACGAGAAUCGAUCGCAAAUGAAUUGCACGAAGAUUAUUACUACUAUUACCUUUUUCUCCUUCUAUACUACUUAAUUUACUCUUGUAUUACUUUUAGCCUUGAUCCACGUAUUUCUGGUAUUAUUCCAAAAGUUAGUUAUCGUUAGCGAGUGAGUAACGACUGUUCUCGCUUGAUAAUUCUAUAAUCCUUUCAAUUAGUCGAAAGAGUCGUAAUUUGCCACUUAAGACAAGUUGCACCGACUGGACUAGGAUUUUAAUUGUGAAUAAUAUGUUUCUAAUUUUUCUCUAAAUUAUCAUAUUAUCAUAUAAUAAUGUCGACAGAAUAAAACACCGAAUUGUAAAAAUUAAAGAAUAUUUAAAAGAUUUUAUAAAGAGUAUCUAAAAGAUUAAUAAUGUUGUGUCUGAGCAAGCGUAUAUCACAAUUAUCCAGUUGGUGCAAGAGAAUUCAAUCUUUGACGUGAUGCCGCAAUUGCGAUGCUCAUAGCCAAAUGCAAUCGUUCGUUGACCAAUUUACACUUUUCUUCGACCAAUCGAGUCAUAUUAUCAAGUACCUGCUUUGAUAUUGCUUUCAUUAAACCUAGUCAAUUUGGUACUAUUAAAUGGGCGAUUAGAAAUCUGUUCCAUGAAACAACUUUAUAAUUUUUUAGAUUAUUAUUUUUUACUUUAUUAGUUUUUUUUUAAUAAGUAAACAUUCUAAUAAAGCAUUAAAAUUUGCAAAUAAUAAUUGCAUAAAGUAAUAUUGAUAACAAUGAGGAAAGUAUUUGUUUGAUCGGAUGAUAAUAAAAACUAUUAAUUUUUAAAUAUUAUAUUUACCAUUUAAUCCAUAAUUAGUCAUAAAAUAACAUGAAAGAAUUUUUAUAACAUUAAUUUUUUAGAAAAUGCUUUACUGAUGCAUAUUAAAAAGCAAGUUGUGUUACCCAUGCGAUGUACCAUGCAGUAAUUUAAAUUUGAUUAUAAUUAAAAAUUAAAGUAAAAAUUACAUACAUUUUUAAGAGCGCAAGAGCGCAAGAGCGUAGAAAAUAGAAAACUGAAAAGUCAAUUCAUGGAAUAGAUCAGGCAUGUUUUAACGCCAAAAUAAAUACGACAAAGUAGAUACAAUAAUUCAUUUCGGGCGGAGUCGAGAUGAGGUCCGUGGCAAAUCUUGAAUGCACUUUGUACAAAAUCAAAAUGUAAAAUAAGUAACGUGCUUGUUUUCUUUUAUUUGAACUCGAUUUACAUCCAAUUGAGAAUAUCAGAAUUAUCGUAUCACAUUGAAAUAUUGCAUUUUUGUCGUUCUACUAUUUGGUUGAAACAAAAUUGACCAUUUCUAACUUCUGUUCACUCACGCAUAUUUGAAUCUUUAAUCAAAUUAUUUUCUCUUACUCUAUAUACCACUCUUUUUCCAUCAUUAGCUCUUUAUUUUUUUCUCUUUAAUUAUGGCUGAGACCUUUAUCGGCGAAAACAAUUCGUUAAUUUUUAUACAUAUAAAUAUCAUACGAGCGAAUCACCUUUCGGAAAAGAAUAGUAAAAGAUUUUUUAUGUAGUGAGUAGUACAGAUUCCUACAUCUUGAAGAACAUGAUAAUCGCGACUUUAUCUCGAAUAAUAACGGAGAGGCUCAGAAAUUUUGUGUAAUUUUAUCGAGCAACAUGUUGACAGAGAGAAGGCCGCCCAGUUACAGCCGAAUUAUCGUUUUGACAUGCUAUUACGUAAAAUAGUAUUAGCAAGAAGAUAAAAAUUAUAUAGUUUGCCAUGUCACGGAACUUUCUAUUUCUAAUUAAAAAUUUAUUGCUCAAGUUUCCCAGACUCUCUCCUGAAUUACCUUUCCUUCACUUUAAGAGGAAUUCCGCUGAAUUUGAGAAUACUUUUAGACACAAUAUAUUAUGUAUCAAUCUAAACUUCUUUUAUUUAUGUGGAAAAUGUAUCUCGAUGAGAAGAUUACAUUAUAAGAUUAUGCAGAAUGAAUUUAAUGAAUCCUAGGGAUGCAUCGAAGGCAUCCACGUAUCCUCGUGCUAUUACCAGAGCGAAUAAAAAGGUUAUUCGGAGAGUAUAUAUACACUUGUAAUUAAUUAUAGGACGAAAUCCAAUAUGAUGUGACCUGACUCUUCAUAGCUGAAUUCAAUAAUCUAUAGAGUAUUACAUUACAAUUUAAUGCGGCAAAGUCACGGCGAUGGUGCUUGCUGCUCUCGAGGAAGAUUGUUCGAAUUACGUCUCGAAUGAGGGCGCGAUUGAUUCCGCGAAACUUUGCAUAAAGCCCUUCUUACAAUAUGCAAGAAUUUAAUAAUUUGCGUAUGUAAUUCUUGCACAGUGUAGGAUAAAUACAACGAUUUAUCAUGAGUGCAAUGUACGUUUGACUUUUCGAAAAACAGAACAUUAAAUUUGAUUUGAAUAUU